CCUACGGGCGGCAGCAGUGAGGAAUAUUGGUCAAUGGGCGCGAGCCUGAACCAGCCAAGUAGCGUGAAGGAUGACUGCCCUACGGGUUGUAAACUUCUUUUAUAAAGGAAUAAAGUGAGGCUCGUGUGCCUUUUUGUAUGUACUUUAUGAAUAAGGAUCGGCUAACUCCGUGCCAGCAGCCGCGGUAAUACGGAGGAGCCGAGCGUUAUCCGGAUUUAUUGGGUUGAAAGGGAGCGUAGAUGGGUUGGUAAGUCAGUUGUGAAAGUCUGCGGCUCAACCGUAAGAGUGCAAUUGAUACUGGCAGUCUUGAGUGCAGUAGAGGUAGGCGGAAUUCGUGGUGUAGCGGUGAAAUGCUUAGAUAUCACGAAGAACUCCGAUUGCGAAGGCAGCUUACUAAACUGCAACUGACAUUGAUGCUCGAAAGUGUGGGUAGCAAACAGGAUUAGAUACCCCUGUAGUC
rnacentral:rRNA from 1 species